rnacentral:rRNA from 1 species
AUGAAGAAAGAGUUCACUCCUAAAUGUUUAAGGAGAAUAGACCCCUGUGACCAAUUCAAAUGGAACUGGAUUCCAUCUGAAGGAAAAUCAGGAGGCAUCUUGUGUGGGGUUCGCCAUGAUACUCUGGAAAUUGUGUCUUGCAACAAAGGCAAGUACAUUCUCCAAGUUAUCCUUCGUGACAAGAAUAGAAAAUGUAAAUGGGGUCUGUUGGUGGUCUAUGGGUCGGCCCAUGAGGAAUUUAAGGAGGAAUUCUUGCUUGAAUUGGCUGCCAUGUGCAAUAGUAUGCAAAUUCCUUAUAUAGUGGGCGGGGACUUCAAUAUUCUUAGACACUCAGGAGAGAAGAACAAGAAGAUGGCGAACCAUAAAUCCAUAGACCUCUUUAAUUCCAUCAUCAAUACCCUAGCCCUCAGAGAAAUUCAUGUUAGCGGAGGCAAGUACACUUGGACUAAUAAUCAGGCUCAUCCAACCCUGGAAAAACUUGACCGC